CGCUUUUUAUCUUUUGCCGAGUAUUGUUAUACAGGUGAGGAAGAGCAACGUCAGAGAAAUACUUGCGGCUAUGUACUGUAUAUCGAGCGUCCAAAACUUUCAGCAUGUUGUUAAACCCUCUCUUCUCAACAGAGUAAACUGGCAGCAUAUCCGUAGCUAUGUAGAGGGUAAUUGCCUCCGUUAUGGCUUUCCACCUUGC